GAUAUCUGGCCUGAGAUGCCUAGCCCGCCUCGCAAGAGUGUGUGCUGCUGGUGCGUUUCGGCCAUCCUUCUGGAGAGCACUCCUUCCCUUCACUGGGCAGGGAGUGGGAUCCAGAUCUUUUACUUUGAAAAAAUUAGAGUGUUCAAAGCAGGCAAUUUGCUGUGAAUACAUUAGCAUGGAAUAAUAAGAUAGGACUUUGGUUCUAUUUUGUUGGUUUCUAGGACUGAAGUAAUGAUUGAUAGGGAUAGUUGGGGGUGCUAGUAUUCAACGGCCAGAGGUGAAAUUCUCGGAUUCGUUGAAGACUAACUAAUGCGAAAGCAUU
rnacentral:rRNA from 1 species